rnacentral:ncRNA from 1 species
CACUCGGCUGGAGGGUCAUUACCGCAGCGGUCGAGGAAGUACCCCCUACUGCGGGAAAGACAUGGAAGCAGGGGUAAGCGUGGCGAAGCUAGCGCGCGAAUGUCGAACGGCUGGCGGGU